rnacentral:rRNA from 1 species
AUUGAAAGCUGGCGGCAUGCUUUACACAUGCAAGUCGGACGUGUGGCGAACGGGUGAGUAACGCAUCGGAACGUACCGAGUAAUGGGGGAUAACUGUCCGAAAGGACAGCUAAUACCGCAUAUUAUUCGAGCGGCCGAUGUCUGAUUAGCUGGUUGGCGGGGUAAAGGCCCACCAAGGCGACGACCAGUAGCGGGUCUGAGAGGAUGCUCCGGCACACUGGGACUGAGACACGGCCCAGAUUCCUAGGGGAGGCAGCAGUGGGGAAUUUUUGACAAUGGGCGCAAGCCUGAUGCAGCCAUGCCGCGUGACUGAAGAAGGCCUUCGGGUUGUAAAGGAAUGUUGUAAGGGAAGCGGUACCUGAAGAAUAAGCACCGGCUAACUACGUGCCAGCAGCCGCGGUAAUUC